rnacentral:rRNA from 1 species
UUGAGCUUGAUCCCUGGCUCAGGAUGAACGCUGGCGGCGUGCUUAACACAUGCAAGUCGAACGAUGAUCCCAGCUUGCUGGGGGAUUAGUGGCGAACGGGUGAGUAACACGUGAGUAACCUGCCCUUAACUCUGGGAUAAGCCUGGGAAACUGGGUCUAAUACCGGAUAUGACUCCUCAUCGCAUGGUGGGGGGUGGAAAGCUUUAUUGUGGUUUUGGAUGGACUCGCGGCCUAUCAGCUUGUUGGUGAGGUAAUGGCUCACCAAGGCGACGACGGGUAGCCGGCCUGAGAGGGUGACCGGCCACACUGGGACUGAGACACGGCCCAGACUCCUACGGGAGGCAGCAGUGGGGAAUAUUGCACAAUGGGCGAAAGCCUGAUGCAGCGACGCCGCGUGAGGGAUGACGGCCUUCGGGUUGUAAACCUCUUUCAGUAGGGAAGAAGCGAAAGUGACGGUACCUGCAGAAGAAGCGCCGGCUAACU